UACGGGGGGGGCAAGCGUUGUUCGGAAUUACUGGGCGUAAAGGGCUCGUAGGUGGCCAACUAAGUCAGACGUGAAAUCCCUCGGCUUAACCGGGGAACUGCGUCUGAUACUGGAUGGCUUGAGUUUGGGAGAGGGAUGCGGAAUUCCAGGUGUAGAGGUGAAAUUCGUAGAUAUUCGGAAGAACACCAGUGGCGAAGGCGGCUCACUGGCCCGGUACUGACGCUGAGGUGCGAAAGCGUGGGGAGCAAACAGG
rnacentral:rRNA from 1 species